AUCACUAACACUAAUAAAAUCAGAUGAUUUGAGGUUAGGUUUAUUUGACAUAACAUAAAUAUAUUUUUUUAAAAUGAAUUCUUGUUAAAUUGCUAAUAUUUUUAAACAUUUAUAAGAGUUUUCUAGCGUACCAGUGGAAUUUUUCAAUUGGUUGGCUAUUACGUAAAGUGCAGAUGUAUAACUAUAUUACUGUCGACAAUGCAAGAAAGUUACUGGAAUGUUAGUGUUUCACCGAAGAUUUUUCCAACUAAACAAUAUCCAUAUACUGUUAGGCCUAUUAUUUAUCGUCGGAUUUGUAAUUCAGUGCCGAUAUUUGUAUAGAAACCAUCAAAGAAAUUUAAGGAUUGCCGAGUAUAAGUCUAGGAUUAAUGAUCUGUCUACCAACAUGAAGAAAAUUGAGAAAAUAGCCAACCUUACCUCGGCAUCUUUGGAUAGUUUAGAGCAGAAAGUAUCAAAACGAAUUGUGCCACAUUCUAAAGUAAGUUGACCCUAUACUUCUCCAAGACUUACCUUUUUAUUAGUAGUUAGCGAGAAGAAAAUAAUAAGAUCUUCAAAGUACUUGUUACUUUUUUUCUUUGUUUAAAGAAAAAAUAUACUUUUACAGCGAACAGUUAAAUUUUGUUGAUUUUAAAAUUAUUCAAAAUACCAUCUUUGUUUUGUUGUAAUUGUAUGUUUUUUCUUGAGAUGGCCAGUUUAUUAUUACCAUAGUACAACUAAUAUAUUUACACCAAAUAAUUUCUAACCUAAGUAAAGUUUUGUUAUGGAAAAUAUAAUAAAAAACAUAUAUUUUGUUAUACCUAUUAUAUUUAGAUAGUUAGGGGAUCUUAAAAAUACUAAAAGAAUGUAGUUUCUAUAAGCUUAAAAAAUAUUAUAAAUGUACCUAGCACAAAAGAUAUUUUAUAGUCAAAAUUAUACAUGUUAUUCUAACAAACUAACUUUUACUGUUAUACUAAUUCCGUUUAAGAUUUUUUUUGUUAAUCAAUUGUUAUAUUACUAACAUUUAACGAAAGUAGAGUUGUUAAUAUGAUUAUAUAUUUUAUUUAUCGCCUGGUUUGUAUACAAGAUAUGUUUGUGUGACAAUAAAAUUGUUUAUUUUUCUUUCAAAUGC